CACGCCGUAAACGAUGGAUGCUAGCUGUUAGGAGUAUCGACCCUUCUAGUAGCGAAGCUAACGCGUUAAGCAUCCCGCCUGGGGAGUACGAACGCAAGUUUAAAACUCAAAGGAAUUGACGGGGACCCGCACAAGUGGUGGAGCGUGUUCUUUAAUUCGAAGUUAAGCGAAGAACCUUACCAGGGCUUGACAUCCUUGGAAUCUCUGCGAAAGCAGAGAGUGCCUUUUGGAACCAAGUGACAGGUGU
rnacentral:rRNA from 1 species